GAAACCUUUACACUGCACGACAGUGCGAUAGGGGAUCCCAAGUGCACAGGCAUAGCGCCUGUGCUUUUCGGUACCGUAAGGUGGUACCAGAAUAAGGGCUGGGCAAGACCGGUGCCAGCCGCCGCGGUAAUACCGGCAGCCCAAGUGAUGGCCGAUCUUAUUGGGCCUAAAGCGUCCGUAGCUGGCCGCGCAAGUCCAUCGGGAAAUCCACCUGCUCAACAGGUGGGCGCCCGGUAGAAACUGCGUGGCUUGGGACCGGAAGGCGCGACGGGUACGUCCGGGGUAGGAGUGAAAUCCCGUAAUCCUGGACGGACCGCCGAUGGCGAAAGCACGUCGCGAGGACGGAUCCGACAGUGAGGGACGAAAGCCAGGGUCUCGAACCGGAUUAGAUACCCGGGUAGUCCUGGCCGUAAACAAUGUCUGUUAGGUGUGGCUCCCGCUACGAGCGGGUGCUGUGCCGUAGGGAAGCCGCUAANCAGACCGCCUGGGAAGUACGUCCGCAAGGAUGAAACUUAAAGGAAUUGGCGGGGGAGCACUACAACCGGAGGAGCCUGCGGUUUAAUUGGACUCAACGCCGGA
rnacentral:rRNA from 1 species